GAUGAACGCUGGCGGCGUGCCUAAUACAUGCAAGUCGAGCGAACAGACGAGGAGCUUGCUCCUCUGACGUUAGCGGCGGACGGGUGAGCAACACGUGGAUAACCUACCUAUAAGACUGGGAUAACUUCGGGAAACCGGAGCUAAUACCGGAUAAUAUAUUGAACCGCAUGGUGCAAUAGUGAAAGACGGUUUUGCUGUCACUUAUAGAUGGAUCCGCGCCGCAUUAGCUAGUUGGUAAGGUAACGGCUUACCAAGGCAACGAGGCGUAGCCGACCUGAGAGGGUGAUCGGCCACACUGGAACUUAGACACGGUCCAGACUACUACGGGAGGCAGCAGUAGGGAAUCUUCCGCAAUGGGCGAAAGCCUGACGGAGCAACGCCGCGUGAGUGAUGAAGGUCUUCGGAUCGUAAAACUCUGUUAUUAGGGAAGAACAAAUGUGUAAGUAACUAUGCACGUCUUGACGGUACCUAAUCAGAAAGCCACGGCUAACUACGUG
rnacentral:rRNA from 1 species